GACGUAGGGCGCGAGCGUUGUCCGGAUUUAUUGGGCGUAAAGAGCUCGUAGGCGGCUUGUCGCGUCGAAUGUGAAAACUCGGGGCUCAACUCCGAGCUUGCAUUCGAUACGGGCAGACUAGAGUGCGGUAGGGGAGACUGGAAUUCCUGGUGUAGCGGUGAAAUGCGCAGAUAUCAGGAGGAACACCGGUGGCGAAGGCGGGUCUCUGGGCCGUAACUGACGCUGAGGAGCGAAAGCAUGGGGAGCGAACAGG
rnacentral:rRNA from 1 species